GAAGGUGGCCUGUGAGGGUUGCUGGAGGUAUCAGAAGUGCGAAUGCUGACAUAAGUAACGAUAAAGCGGGUGAAAAGCCCGCUCGCCGGAAGACCAAGGGUUCCUGUCCAACGUUAAUCGGGGCAGGGUGAGUCGACCCCUAAGGCGAGGCCGAAAGGCGUAGUCGAUGGGAAACGGGUUAAUAUUCCCGUACUUGGUGUUACUGCGAAGGGGGGACGGAGAAGGCUAUGUUGGCCGGGCGACGGUUGUCCCGGUUUAAGCGUGUAGGUGUGUGUUCCAGGUAAAUCCGGUUCACUUUAACACUGAGGCGUGAUGACGAGGCACUACGGUGCUGAAGCAACAAAUGCCCUGCUUCCAGGAAAAGCCUCUAAGCAUCAGGUAACAUCAAAUCGUACCCCAAACCGACACAGGUGGUCAGGUAGAGAAUACCAAGGCGCUUGAGAGAACUCGGGUGAAGGAACUAGGCAAAAUGGUGCCGUAACUUCGGGAGAAGGCACGCUGACACGUAGGUGAAGUGAUUUACUCAUGGAGCUGAAGUCAGUCGAAGAUACCAGCUGGCUGCAACUGUUUAUUAAAAACACAGCACUGUGCAAACACGAAAGUGGACGUAUACGGUGUGACGCCUGCCCGGUGCCGGAAGGUUAAUUGAUGGGGUCAGCGCAAGCGAAGCUCCUGAUCGAAGCCCCGGUAAACGGCGGCCGUAACUAUAACGGUCCUAAGGUAGCGAAAUUCCUUGUCGGGUAAGUUCCGACCUGCACGAAUGGCGUAAUGAUGGCCAGGCUGUCUCCACCCGAGACUCAGUGAAAUUGAACUCGCUGUGAAGAUGCAGUGUACCCGCGGCAAGACGGAAAGACCCCGUGAACCUUUACUAUAGCUUGACACUGAACAUUGAGCCUUGAUGUGUAGGAUAGGUGGGAGGCUUUGAAGUGUGGACGCCAGUCUGCAUGGAGCCGACCUUGAAAUACCACCCUUUAAUGUUUGAUGUUCUAACGUGGACCCGUGAUCCGGGUUGCGGACAGUGUCUGGUGGGUAGUUUGACUGGGGCGGUCUCCUCCUAAAGAGUAACGGAGGAGCACGAAGGUUGGCUAAUCCUGGUCGGACAUCAGGAGGUUAGUGCAAUGGCAUAAGCCAGCUUGACUGCGAGCGUGACGGCGCGAGCAGGUGCGAAAGCAGGUCAUAGUGAUCCGGUGGUUCUGAAUGGAAGGGCCAUCGCUCAACGGAUAAAAGGUACUCCGGGGAUAACAGGCUGAUACCGCCCAAGAGUUCAUAUCGACGGCGGUGUUUGGCACCUCGAUGUCGGCUCAUCACAUCCUGGGGCUGAAGUAGGUCCCAAGGGUAUGGCUGUUCGCCAUUUAAAGUGGUACGCGAGCUGGGUUUAGAACGUCGUGAGACAGUUCGGUCCCUAUCUGCCGUGGGCGCUGGAGAACUGAGGGGGGCUGCUCCUAGUACGAGAGGACCGGAGUGGACGCAUCACUGGUGUUCGGGUUGUCAUGCCAAUGGCACUGCCCGGUAGCUAAAUGCGGAAGAGAUAAGUGCUGAAAGCAUCUAAGCACGAAACUUGCCCCGA
rnacentral:rRNA from 1 species